AGUGAACGCUGGCGGUAGGCCUAACACAUGCCAGUCGAACGGCAGCACAGUAAGAGCUUGCUCUUACGGGUGGCGAGUGGCGGACGGGUGAGGAAUACAUCGGAAUCUACUUUUUCGUGGGGGAUAACGUAGGGAAACUUACGCUAAUACCGCAUACAACCUACGGGUGAAAGCAGGGGAUCUUCGGACCUUGCGCGAUUGAAUGAGCCGAUGUCGGAUUAGCUAGUUGGCGGGGUAAAGGCCCACCAAGGCGACGAUCCGUAGCUGGUCUGAGAGGAUGAUCGGCCACACUGGAACUGAGACACGGUCCAGACUCCUACGGGAGGCAGCAGUGGGGAAUAUUGGACAAUGGGCGCAAGCCUGAUCCAGCCAUACCGCGUGAGUGAAGAAGGCCUUCGGGUUGUAAAGCCCUUUUGUUGAGAAAGAAAAGCAGCAGGUUAAUACCCCGCUGUUCUGACGGUACCCAAAGAAUAAGCACCGGCUAACUUCGUG
rnacentral:rRNA from 1 species